UACUCACGUCAUACUCACUUUGCGCCUCCUGCCCCCCUCCCCACGUCUCUCUCUCAAACCUCCCUUCUCUCUCUCGCCUCUGCCGGAAACGGCUACUGCCGGUCACGCCGGUGCCGACCAGCCGCCCCUCUCUCCUUCUUCCUUUCUCUUUCCUUCUUUCCCCUGUUCUCACUCUCUCUCUCGGUCUCCUUCUCCACCAGCACCACCGCCGGCUGGAAACCGCCGCUGCUGCCGUCGGGCUGCCGCCGCCGCUGCGCCGGCCGCCGCCGCUGCGGAGAAAUCAAGAGGGGUUGAAAAGACAUUGAAAAAGAGUGUCGUCUUUUGCCGGAUUUCGUCACCACCGUCGGGCUGCCGUCGCCGCCGCUGAGCCGCCGGAGGGCAGAAACUCCAGCCCAUCAGGUUGCAUAGAAAAGAGAAGAUUAUGAUUGCAGCUUUGGAAAAAGGCAAAACACCAAUUUUAAGAGAACCGUUUAAUGCAGAACAGUUUCAAAGCAGGUACGUAGAAAAAAUAAAGAAGCUUAUUACAGAUGUAACCAUUACGAUAGGAAGAAAAAAAGGAAAAAAAAAGUGUUACUGAUGCAGCUGAAGCUAUUCAAGCACCGGGCAACCUGUAUAGGAGUCUGAGAACACUUCCCAAAAAUAGGAAAAAAAAGAAGAAAAGAAAAAAAGGAAAAAAAAAUGGAAAAAAGGAAAAAAAAGAAAAAAAGGAAAAAGAAGGUA